CUGCUAGGAGAAGACUGACUUCUAGGCCGCUAGGAUGAGGGUCUUAAAGCCCACAGUCAUAGUGACACACUUAUUCCAACAGGGCUACACCUUUUAAUAGUGCCACUCCCUGGGCGGAGCACAUACAAACCAGCACAAGGGGGUUCAUUGUGUGGCCCCAUCUUUGUAGCUUAUUUGUACAAUGUGGGCUUUAUAUGUCCUGUUACCUGUAGUUCAUGAUGAGUUACAGGUCACUUUCACUCUCUCCAGAGCAGAAGCAUCGGAGCCCUUCACAGAUGGUUGUGAGCCACCACGUGGUUGCUGGGAAUCGAACUCAGGACCUCUGGAAGAGCAGUUCUCUUAACCACUGGGCCAUCUCCAGCCCCUACAGGUCACUUUCGGUUGUUCUAGAAUGCCUUUGCGCCUGUUCCAGGAGCUUCAGCCGGUUCUAGUGGGCCUUGGUGGUGAGCAGAGCUGUCCCGGCCAUCUUGUCUUCACCCACAGUGAUGAACACGUGACCAAAAGCAACUUGGAAAGGGCUUCCUUGCCUUACAGGUUACAGCCCAUCGGGAAGACAGGAACUCGGCAAGAACCUGGAAGAAGGAACUGAAGUAGAAGCCAUGGAAUAAUACUCUUAUUGUCAGACUCCCCACGAUCUUCUCCGCUGACUGGGGUGACACUGUCCACAGCAGGCUGGGGCCUCACACAGCCCACACAUCAGCUCUCAAUUUAAAAAAAAAUGCACCACAGACAUGGCCACAAAUCUAGAUUACCUCUUCCCACGUAAUUCUAGUUUGUGUCGAGUUGACAAAAACCAUUCAGCACAGAAGGUAUCUAUCCCAAGAGCACUAAAGGAUUGCAAACUAUAUGGAGAAUUGGAACCACCUGGUCCCAUUUAUUUGUCCUUAGGUCCCUGUCCCAUUCUGGAGGAUAUAUUUCAUGACUGCCCAAACAGGGGUGCUACACGUAGAGAGUUACACAGGUGUCUUAGCUCAGUAGUCAGGAAUCAAGAGGCUAAACCGUCCUUUAAACUAUAUUGUGUGUGUGUGUGGUGUGUAGGGGGGGUGGUCUUUAAAGAAAACUGCUAGAGCCCUUAAGAGUGGUUGUGACAGUGGUGGCUGUGAGCUAAUCUCCAGGAACAAAGACCCUAUACUUCAGGUGACACUUGUCGGGUGAGAUUGGAGUCUACAGUAGAGACUAUAUGAAAGACAGUUGAGGAUCUUGGCUUCUAUGGGACGUGGAACUUGGUGUUAGAAAUGCCACAGGAGCCCAUGGAGUCUUAAAGAGACUUAAAAGGGCACCUGAAAUGCAGACACAAUAACUCUACCUCGGAAGGGAUGGGCAACAAGGCAGGACUAGGAAGGGGGGAGUGAAAAGAUACUUGUGUAUCAUAUAAAGUUACAUGCCGUUAAAGUGGAUUGGAACCACACGGCCGCAUUUAUUGUCCUUAGGUCCCUGUCUGAUUCUGGAAGAUCCAUUUCAUGACUGCCCAGAAAGGGGUGCUACACAUAGUUACACAGGUACCUCAGCCCAGUAGUUAGGAGUUGAGAGUUCCUAUCACUGAGGCAAGUCAGGGAAGUAAUUGGCUUGCUCUCCGUGGCUUGCUCAACUUUCUUCUACAUCCCAAAAUGGGUGGGACCUUCCACGUCAAUCAUUAAGAAAACCAUAUAAGACAUGUCAUUUUUCCUUUUAUUGGAACUAGAUCUUUUUCCUGACAUAUCCUGAUUAUGAUUUCUGCCUCCCAGUUCCUCUCAUUAAAAAACCAAUAGUCUUCAAAGGGAUGAUAAUAAACUGUAGCAAAAUCAAAUAUAAUAAGAUAAAACAAAAUCCAUCACAUCAGGGUUGGACAAAACAAACAGAAGGAAUAGGAGGGUGAGAGGAGGCACAAGAGUCUGAGACCUGCUCAUCCACACUCAGGAAUCCCAUAAAAGAGCCACAAUGUAUGUGCACAGGACUGGUACAGACCCAUGUCCCGCCCUUUGAAUGUUGCCUCAGUCUCUGUGAGUUCACAUCAGUUCGAUCUUGUUGAUUUAGAGGGCCUUGUGUGUGCGUGUGUGUGUGUGUGUUUUUUCCAUCUCUCUGGCUCUUAAACUCCUUCUGCCUCCUGUUCCUAAGGGAUCCCUGAGAUGAGACAAUUCGAUAGAGACAUCCCAUUCAGGGUUAAGUGUUCCAAGGUCUCUCUCUUCAUAAUGUCCAUCUGUGGGUCUAUCUGCUCCCAUCUGCUGCAGGAGGAAGCUUCUCUAAUAGUGGCUGAGCAAGGCACUGAUUUGUGAGUG
ensembl:lncRNA